rnacentral:rRNA from 1 species
GAUGAACGCUGGCGGCGUGCCUAAUACAUGCAAGUCGAGCGAACAGACGAGGAGCUUGCUCCUCUGACGUUAGCGGCGGACGGGUGAGUAACACGUGGAUAACCUACUUAUAAGACUGGGAUAACUUCGGGAAACCGGAGCUAAUACCGGAUAAUAUAUUGAACCGCAUGGUUCAAUAGUGAAAGACGGUUUUGCUGUCACUUAUAGAUGGAUCCGCGCUGCAUUAGCUAGUUGGUAAGGUAACGGCUUACCAAGGCGACGAGGCGUAGCCGACCUGAGAGGGUGAUCGACCACACUAGAACUGAGACACGGACCAGACUCCUGCGAGAGGCAGCAGUAGGGAAUCUGCCGCAGUGGGCGGAAGCCUGACAGAGCAACGCCGCGUGGGUGAUGGAAGUCUUCGGAUCGUGAAACUCUGUUAUUGGGGGAGAACAGAUGUGUAAGUAACUGUGCACGUCUUGACGGUACCUAGUCAAGAAGCCACGGCUAACUACGUG